UACGAAGGGGGCUAGCGUUGCUCGGAAUCACUGGGCGUAAAGGGUGCGUAGGCGGGUCUUUAAGUCAGGGGUGAAAUCCUGGAGCUCAACUCCAGAACUGCCUUUGAUACUGAGGAUCUUGAGUCCGGGAGAGGUGAGUGGAACUGCGAGUGUAGAGGUGAAAUUCGUAGAUAUUCGCAAGAACACCAGUGGCGAAGGCGGCUCACUGGCCCUGUACUGACGCUGAGGCACGAAAGCGUGGGGAGCAAACAGG
rnacentral:rRNA from 1 species